UACGGGGGGAGCAAACGUUGUUCGGAAUCACUGGGCGUAAAGGGCGCGUAGGCGGCUGAAUAAGUGGGAUGUUAAAUCCCCGGGCUCAACCCGGGACCUGCAUCUCAUACUGUUCAGCUCGAGCACAUCAGAGGAGUCUGGAAUUCCCGGUGUAGCGGUGAAAUGCGUAGAUAUCGGAAGGAACGCCGGUGGCGAAAGCGGCGUGCUGGACCUCCCCUGACGCUGAGGCGCGAAAGCCAGGGGAACGAACGGG
rnacentral:rRNA from 1 species